rnacentral:rRNA from 1 species
UCGGGAAUUUUGGGCAAUGGGCGAAAGCCUGACCCAGCAACGCCGCGUGAAGGAUGAAGGUCUUCGGUAUGUAAACUUCGUAAGAAUAGGAAGAAUAAAUGACGGUACUAUUUGUAAGGUCCGGCUAACUACGUGCCAGCAGCCGCGGUAAUACGUAGGGACCAAGCGUUGUUCGGAUUUACUGGGCGUAAAGGGCGCGUAGGCGGUGUGUCAAGUCAGUUGUGAAAUCUCCGAGCUUAACUCGGAACGGUCAACUGAUACUGUCACACUAGAGUACAGAAGGGGCAAUCGGAAUUCUUGGUGUAGCGGUGAAAUGCGUAGAUAUCAAGAGGAACACCUGAGGCGAAGGCGGGUUGCUGGGCUGAUACUGACGCUGAGGCGCGAAAGCUAGGGU